rnacentral:rRNA from 1 species
AUUAAACGCUGGCGGCAUGCCUUACACAUGCAAGUCGAACGGCAGCACGGGGGCAACCCUGGUGGCGAGUGGCGAACGGGUGAGUAAAGCAUCGGAACGUGCCUUGGAGUGGGGGAUAACGUAGCGAAAGUUACGCUAAUACCGCAUAUUCUGUGAGCAGGAAAGCAGGGGAUCGCAAGACCUUGCGCUCUGGGAGCGGCCGAUGUCGGAUUAGCUAGUUGGUGGGGUAAAGGCCUACCAAGGCGACGAUCCGUAGCGGGUCUGAGAGGAUGAU